GACGAACGCUGGCGGCGUGCUUAAUACAUGCAAGUCGAACGGAAAGGCCCUGCCUUUGUGGGGUGCUCGAGUGGCGAACGGGUGAGUAACACGUGAGUAACCUGCCCUUGAAUUUGGGAUAACUUCCGGAAAAUGGGGAUAAUUACGGAUAGGAGCACCUGCUGCAUGGUGGGGGUUGGUAAGGUUCGGCGGUGGGGGAUGGUGUGGCGGCUUAUCAGCUUGUUGGUGGGGUCGUGGCUUACCAAGGCGUUGACGGGUAGCCGGCCUGCGAGGGUGACCGGCCACAGGGGGAGAGAGAUACGGCCGGGAGUCGUACGGGAGUCAGCAGUGGGGAAGAUUGCACGAUGGGCGGAAGCCGCAUGCAGCAAGGCCGCGUGCGGGAUGUCGGCCUCUGGUGUGUAAGCCGCUUGGUCCAGUGACGAUGCCUGAGUGACGGUAAUUUGUAAGGAAGCACCGGCUAACUACGUG
rnacentral:rRNA from 1 species